UACGUAGGUGGCAAGCGUUGUCCGGAAUUAUUGGGCGUAAAGCGCGCGCAGGCGGUCCUUUAAGUCUGAUGUGAAAGCCCACGGCUCAACCGUGGAGGGUCAUUGGAAACUGGAGGACUUGAGUACAGAAGAGGAAAGUGGAAUUCCACGUGUAGCGGUGAAAUGCGUAGAUAUCGGGAGGAACACCAGUGGCGAAGGCGACUACCUGGCCUGUUCUUGAGGCUGAGGCGCGAAAGCUAGGGGAGCAAACGGG
rnacentral:rRNA from 1 species